rfam:Triticum aestivum genome assembly, contig: Triticum_aestivum_CS42_TGACv1_scaffold_571072_7AS
GUCCUACUACCUCCGUCCGGAAAUACUUUUCAGAAGAAUGGAUGUAUCUAGAUGUAUUUUAGUUUUAGAUACAUCCAUUUGUAUUCAUUUCUACGACAAGUAUUUUCAGACGGAGGGAGUACAUG